UUUUUUUUUGUUGAAAUAUUGACUUUGGAAACUAACAAAUAAAUAAGUCUUUAACAAUCUAGUAUACCAAGUUAAAUAAUAUUAAAAAUUUAAUUUCAGGUAUACAAAUAAUAAUAGCAUAGGAAAUAAAUAAUGAAAAAAGAAAAUAAAAAGGGAAGAAACUAAAAAGAAAAUGUCAGAAAAAAAUUAAAAAAAUAGAAUAAUUAAAACAGAAGGGAUAAUAUUUUUUCCAAACAUCUCAUGAGAGGGAGAGGAGGGCAAAGUGCCUACUAAAAUAGUUUAUGACAUUUUUUUUCAAAACGGCAAUAUUUUAUUAAUAGUCUAAGCCAAGUUACAUAAAAGGUGAGCAACUACCCUUACAAUCUGCUUGCACUAACUCAAGCAGCCAGACUGGGAAGUCAUCCUUUCAUUUAACAAAUUCCUUCAAGAUAAUUCCCAUUGGCUAGUUUAUGACUAACAAAGUUGUUUACCCUUCUAGUAAAAGUAAAACAACAUUCAUCAAAGUUGGACUUAAGUUUCCUAAUAUCAAAUACAACUACUGACCUUAUUACAUCAUCUUCCUCUCUGUUUAUCCCAUUCACCACCUGCAAACAAUCUGUUUCAGACUCCACACUUCUCCAUCCUUGUUGCUUCGCCACCAACAUAGCAGCUCUUAGCACCAUUGCCUCCUCUAGCUUUGGAUUUGAGUAGCUUGAGUUUGGCACUGCCCAGGCUCCUAACACCUUCCAUUGCCAGUCCCUCGCAACCAUUCCCCAGCCUACCUUAUCCAUUUUUUGGUAUAGAGCUGCAUCUGAAUUUAUCCUGACCCAGCUCUUCUUUGGUCUCUUCCAGCCAUUCGAUGCCUCUUCUACACUCUUACUAUAUCCCCC
rnacentral:lncRNA from 1 species